GUCGGGUGUGGUGGCGCACACCUUUGAUCCCAGCAACUCAGGAGGCUGAGGCAGGAGGAUUGCAAGUUCAGAGACAGCAUCAGCAACUUAGUGAGACCCUGUCUCAA
rnacentral:sRNA from 1 species